rnacentral:rRNA from 1 species
AGCGAACGCUGGCGGCAGGCCUAACACAUGCAAGUCGAACGCCCCUUCGGGGGAGUGGCGGACGGGUGAGUAACGCGUGGGAACGUGCCCUUUGGUACGGAACAACUGAGGGAAACUUCGGCUAAUACCGUAUGUGCCCCCAUUCUUAGCGGGAUGGGUGGGAAAGAUUUAUCGCCAUUGGAGCGGCCCGCGUUAGAUUAGCUAGUUGGUAGGGUAAUGGCCUACCAAGGCGACGAUCUAUAGCUGGUCUGAGAGGAUGAUCAGCCACACUGGGACUGAGACACGGCCCAGACUCCUACGGGAGGCAGCAGUGGGGAAUCUUGCGCAAUGGGCGAAAGCCUGACGCAGCCAUGCCGCGUGAAUGAUGAAGGUCUUAGGAUUGUAAAAUUCUUUCACCGGGGACGAUAAUGACGGUACCCGGAGAAGAAGCCCCGGCUAACUUCGUGCCAACAGCCGCGGUAAUGUGACUACUG